AUUGAACGCUGGCGGAAUGCUUUACACAUGCAAGUCGAACGGCAGCACGGACUUCGGUCUGGUGGCGAGUGGCGAAUGGGUGAGUAAUGUAUCGGAACGUGCCCAGUCGUGGGGGAUAACGUAGUGAAAAUUACGCUAAUACCGCAUACGAUCUAUGGAUGAAAGCGGGGGAUCGCAAGACCUCGCGCGAUUGGAGCGGCCGAUAUCAGAUUAGGUAGUUGGUGGGGUAAAGGCCCACCAAGCCAACGAUCUGUAGCUGGUCUGAGAGGACGACCAGCCACACUGGAAAUGAGACACGGUCCAGACUCCUACGGGAGGCAGAAGUGGGGAAUUUUGGACAAUGGGCGAAAGCCUGAUCCAGCCAUUCCGCGUGCAGGAUGAAGGCCCUCGGGUUGUAAACUGCUUUUGUACAGAACGAAAAGGUUUCUACUAAUACUAGGAGCUCAUGACGGUACUGUAAGAAUAAGCACCGGCUAACUACGUGCCAGCAGCCGCCGUAA
rnacentral:rRNA from 1 species